UGUUAAAUUGAAAGGAUUUUCAAACUAUCGUUUCUAAGAAAGUUCGUGGAAUAUCUUGUUUGAACAUUAAAAUUAAAAAGAAAUAUCGAGUUCUCGGAUAGAAUUUUUUAUGUCAUUUCUAUUGUUCGUUUCGAUAAAUUUAUUUCUUUAAGACCUAAACUCGACGAAAAUACAGGAAUUAGAAGAGUUAUGGCAUUUGCCACUCGUUUUUGUGGAUGGCCAUGUAGAUUUCGCAGAACAGAUGGAAAAAUACAUAAUAAUUUAAUUAACAAAACCUAUUCAAGGCGGACAGAAAAAACAUUGAUAAUAUGAUACAAAGAAAGUGAUCAGAGAUAAUAAAAUAUCCAAUUCAGAUGCAACAGAUGAGAUGGAUAGUCUUUCAGGAGACUAUCUAUCUCAAGAUUAUAUAUAAUACUUUAAAAGAAGAUGUUGAUAAUUUAGAAACUAUAUUUGAAAAAUAUAGAUAUCAUUUCUCGUUUGUUCUUAAUUUAGAAUUCAAAAAACUUCUAUAACAAAUGAUUCUAAUGGUUCAGAUGAUGUACAAGAAAUUCUUUUUUAUUUCUAAUUUGGAUUGGAAUUGUAAAAGAAAAGACAUCUAUUGAUCAGAUAUAAUCGAUAAAUUCAUAUUUAUCUGAGAAAAGCACAAUCUUAAAUAAGACUGCUGAUAUCACUUUGUAUGUAUCCGAGUUGAAUCAGUGAUAAUAUUUUUAUAAUUCUAUCAAAAAAUUUAACAAAAGUUUUACAAUAC